UACUCCUACGGGAGGCAGCAGUAGGGAAUCUUCCACAAUGGACGAAAGUCUGAUGGAGCAACGCCGCGUGAGUGAUGAAGGGUUUCGGCUCGUAAAACUCUGUUGUUGGAGAAGAACAGGUGUCAGAGUAACUGUUGACAUCUUGACGGUAUCCAACC
rnacentral:rRNA from 1 species